rnacentral:tRNA from 1 species
GCCUUUUUAAUAUAAAAAGUAUAGUUGGCUUCCAACCAACCAGUCUAAUUACUCUUAGAAAAGGCA